GUUCCGGUAGCUCAGCCAGGUAGAGCGCCGCCUCGACACGGCGGUGGCCGGAGGUUCGAAUCCUUCCCGGAACA
rnacentral:tRNA from 1 species